rnacentral:lncRNA from 1 species
CUCUCUCUCUCGCUUUCUGUUUCAGAAAUUCAGGACGCUGGCUCCAGGGGCGGACAAUUUCCCAACGCCCGUUCCUCCAUAUUCAGAACUGAUAUUCCCGUAACACAUCCGCUAAAACCCCUCCUCGACACAUCACUCGACACAAUCCUCCAAGCAGUUUCCCCCAGAACCCUCCAAACCUACGUGACCGCGUGGAGAUGUUUUAAAACAUUCCACGUAUCCUAUAAUUUACCAUUCCCAGACUUUUCUCUCCUCACAAUCACUUCAUUCAUAUCCUACCUUAACAGCAUCAAGAGCCUGCAAGUCGGCUCUAUCAAAGGGUAUCUGAGUGGCAUUCAAUUUUUCCACAAACUGAUAUACGGCGCCCCCUCACCCGAGAUAAAUAAUUCACAAACCUCCCUCUUAAUCAAAGGAAUUCAACGAUCCCAGCCAAACCGUCCCGACACCAGACAACCCAUAACAUCAGAUAUCCUCACCCAAUGCAUUUACACCCUCCGCACCGGCUACCUGUCUCUCCAUAUCACCCGCACAUUAGAUGCCAUGUUUAUUUUAGCCUUUUUCGGUUUCCUUAGAAGCUCGGAACUCGCCAUCACCUCCAAAUUCGAUCCCAAAACCCACCCCACCAUCUCAGACUUAUCAGUCAUAGACAACGAAACCAUAUCGUAUUUGAUUAAACAAAGUAAGACAGAUCAAACCAAAAAAGGCCAUUUCAUUUACAUUUUCAAACUCUCAUCACCCAUCCAACCAUUCCAAUCCAUUCUGGCAUACCUCCAGUGGAGAACUUCCCAAGCUAAAUCCCAUCUCGAUCCCCUAUUCAUAGACGAAUCCAACAAACCAGUCACCCGCUUCUGGUUUCAGAAACAUCUGAAAUCCGUCCUCCAACACUCAGGAAUCCCAGCAAAAAACUUCUCAAGCCACUCCUUCCGCAUUGGGGCAGCAACCUCAGCAGCUCAAAAAGGUCUCUCCCAGCAGCAGAUCCAAGCUCUAGGAAGGUGGUCCUCAGAUGCCUUCCAAAGCUACAUAAGAACCAACCGUUUCCUCACCAAAAAAGCCCACCAAACCCUCAUCGAGUAA